GGGGGCGGAUGGAUUCUGGUGGAUCCCUUGGACUUCAAAUCCAUAGUCGGGUGGUAGUACCGGCCGAGGUGGGUUCAAUUCCUACACGUUCCCGCCA
rnacentral:tRNA from 1 species